rnacentral:antisense_RNA from 1 species
CUUCACCGAGCCCAGCCACAGCGGCCGGUCCUCAGGACGGUCCUGUCCGUAGGCAGCCAGCAGGGCGUCGGCCUC